GGGGAAUUUUGCGCAAUGGGCGAAAGCCUGACGCAGCAACGCCGCGUGUGUGACGACGGCCCUAGGGUUGUAAAGCACUUUUGGAGGGGACAAAAAGCGUCGUUCUCACAACGCGGCGUCUUGAUUUAACCCUCAUAAGAAGCACCGGCUAAAUCUGUGCCAGCAGCCGCGGUAAUACAGAGGGUGCAAGCGUUAAUCGGAAUUACUGGGCGUAAAGCGCACGCAGGCGGCUGCAUAAGCCGGUCGUGAAAUCCCCGGGCUUAACCUGGGAAUUGCAAUCGGGACUGUGCGGCUAGAGUGUUGGAGAGGACAGCGGAAUUCCCGGUGUAGCAGUGAAAUGCGUAGAUAUCGGGAGGAACAUCAGUGGCGAAGGCGGCUGUCUGGCCAAACACUGACGCUCAGGUGCGAAAGCGUGGGGGGCAAA
rnacentral:rRNA from 1 species